rnacentral:rRNA from 1 species
AGUGAACGCUGGCGGUAGGCCUAACACAUGCAAGUCGAACGGCAGCACAGUAAGAGCUUGCUCUUACGGGUGGCGAGUGGCGGACGGGUGAGGAAUACAUCGGAAUCUACUUUUUCGUGGGGGAUAACGUAGGGAAACUUACGCUAAUACCGCAUACGACCUACGGGUGAAAGCAGCGGAUCUUCGGACCUUGCGCGAGUGAAUGAGCCGAUGUCGGAUUAGGUAGUUGGGGGGGUACAGGCCCACCAAGGCGACGAUCCGUAGCUGGUCUGAGAGGAUGAGCAGCCAAACGGGAACUGAGACACGGUCCAGACUCCUACGGGAGGCAGCAGUGGGGAAUAUUGGACAAUGGGCGAAAGCCUGAUCCAGCCAUGCCGCGUGGGUGAAGAAGGCCUUCGGAUUGUAAAGCCCUUUUAGUGGGGAGGAAGGGCAGUAAGUUAAUACCUUGCUGUUUUGACGUUACCAAAAGAAUAAGCACCGGCUAACUUCGUG